rnacentral:lncRNA from 1 species
UCUCAUCAUAUCAAGAACAAGGGUACUACUAUGCUGGUCAAAUGACAUGGCCACGAAAUCUCUGCAAAAAUCCUGAAUCUCAAGGGUCUGUACCUCAUCAAAUGUGAAUCCCGUCAGAAAAAAAAUCAUCAUCACUAUGACUGAUCUGCAAUACUGGCUCAGAGGAUGAAAUCAUGUCUCUAGUAGACUGCACUGUAAUAACCCGUCCGUCAUGGAUAAACUUCACCUUCUGAUGAAGGGAAGAUGGAAUAGCUCCAGCCUGGUGAAUCCAAGGUCGGCCCAAAAGCAGGUUAAAGGAAGCAGGAAUCCUCAAAACCUGGAAUAAUAUAGAGAAUGUGGUCGGGCCGAUGAGCAAAUCUAUAGUCAAGGUGCCCAUGACCUCCCUCUGAGUGUUGUCAUAAGCCCUCACUAUCUGUGUGGAGGGACCAAAAUCUGAGGGUACAAAGCCAAGGGCUAUAGCAGUGGCUAAUGGGCAAACAUUCAGGGUAGAGCCAUUGUCCAACAAGACGGAUGGGACUCUGUGGCCUGAACAAACAACUGUAAUAUAGAGAGGGCGAGUAUGGUCAGAACCCU